AUUGAACGCUGGCGGCAGGCCUAACACAUGCAAGUCGAGCGGAGCGGCGGAAGGGUGAGUAAUGCCUAGGAAUCUGCCUGGUAGUGGGGGAUAACGUCAGGAAACGGGCGCUAAUACUGCAUACUAUCGGACGAGCCUAGGUCGGGUUAGCUUGUUGGUGGGGUAAAGGCCUAACAAGGCGACGAUCCGUACCUGGUAUGAGAGGAUGAUCAGUCACACUGGAACUGAGACACGGUCCAGACUCCUACGGGAGGCAGCAGGGGGUAAUAUUGCACAAUGGGCGCACGCCUGAUCCAGCCAUGCCGCGUGUGUGAAGAAGGUCUUCGGAUUGUAAAGCACUUUAAGUUGGGAGGCGUUACCAACAGAAUAAGCACCGGCUAACUUCGUGCCAGCGGCCGCGGUAAUUC
rnacentral:rRNA from 1 species